rnacentral:tRNA from 3 species
GCCGCGGUGGCGGAACUGGCAGACGCGCAUGAUUCAGGUUCAUGUGGAUAACACCUUGGGAGUUCAAAUCUCCCCCGCGGCA